rnacentral:rRNA from 1 species
AUUGAACGCUGGCGGCAUGCUUUACACAUGCAAGUCGAACGGCAGCGCGGGCUUCGGCCUGGCGGCGAGUGGCGAACGGGCGAGUAAUACAUCGGAACGUGCCCAGUCGUGGGGGAUAGCUCGGCGACAGCCGGAUUAAUACCGCAUACGACCAGAGGGUGAAAGCGGGGGAUCUUUGGACCUCGCGCGAUUGGAGCGCCCGAUGGCAGAUUAGCUAGUUGGUGGGGUAAAGGCCUACCAAGGCGACGAUCUGUAGCUGGUCUGCGAGGACGACCAGCCACCCUGGGACUGAGACACGGCCCAGACUCCUACGGGAGGCAGCAGUGGGGAAUUUUGGACAAUGGGCGAAAGCCUGAUCCAGCAAUGCCGCGUGUGUGAUGAAGGCCUUCGGGUUGUAAAGCACUUUUGGCGGGGAGGAAAAGGACUGUGCCAAUACCACGGUUCGAUGACGGUACCCACAGAGUAAGCCCCGGCUAACUACGUG